rnacentral:rRNA from 1 species
CGCGUAGGCGGUUUUGUUAGUCGGAUGUGAAGUCCCCGGGCUUAACCUGGGAACUGCAUUCGAUACUGCAUAACUAGAGUAUGGUAGAGGGAAGUGGAAUUCCGGGUGUAGCGGUGAAAUGCGUAGAUAUCCGGAGGAACACCAGUGGCGAAGGCGACUUCCUGGGCCAAUACUGACGCUGAGGUGCGAAAGCGUGGGGAGCAAACA